AGGUGUGUGUAUGGGUUUUCCUCACCUUUUCCUGAGAAAGGUUGUUUUUGAAUAAAUUCUAUGUAUUCGGGGUCUAUCUCAAAACUAGAUGCUAUGAUAGGCUUUGAAGAUUUUGGUGGUUCGAGAUGUGUGCCCAUAGGUCUAUGAAAUUCAUAGAUAGACAUGUUUGAAUUCAUAAUAGACCAGAGAUCAAGGAUUAGAUAAGAAGAAAGAAUAGCAGAGAUGAGGCAAAGGAUAAAAGGAAAAUAUAUUUUUUUAUUUAUUUUUUAGAAAAUGAUUAAACUAGUUCGUAGUCAACUCAGCAACCGUUUCCCCGGCAACGGCGCCAAAAAUGCUUGUUGACACUUGCUAACACCACUUGAAUACUAGGUUGUCAUCCCCAGCAUGGCACUAGAGUGUACUAUGGUAUUUAUACGCACACAGAUAAUCCGCAAGCGCACGGAUACCGUUGAAGCUUUUACCCGGUUAAAGGUUUUAUCGUAUCCACAGGGAAACGGGAGAACCAACUACUCUCUAACUUAACCAAGAUAGAUAGAUAGGUGUAAAUAGGAAAGAUGGUAGAAUCGAAUAAGAACAAUAUUAAAGGUAAGAUAACAGUGAGUGAUAAUAUGGGAAUAGAGAAUAGAGCAAUUCUAGUAUAUGGGCGAUGGUAGCAGAAUAGAGAGGAUAACUAUGGUUUCUCUACUUCAAAGGGGUAUGUCUAUGUCUGGGACGAACCACGUGAUAAGAGUACACCACAAAGGAUGCUUAUCCAUAGGCCGAUAAACCCUACCCGUCCUACUAACGAGAGGUGGACUACAGGGGACCAACGUAACUGUCACCUACGCGGCCUACCACACGAUCCAGCUAGUCAGGGGAUAUCCACAAGUAAUCUAGGUCUA
rnacentral:lncRNA from 1 species